GCCUGGGUGGCUCAGUCGGUUGAGUGUCCGACUUCAGCUCGGGUCAUGAUCUCACGGUCUGUGAGUUCGAGCCCCGCGUCGGGCU
rnacentral:tRNA from 1 species